rnacentral:rRNA from 1 species
AUUGAACGCUGGCGGCAUGCCUUACACAUGCAAGUCGAACGGUAACGGGCCUUCGGGUGCCGACGAGUGGCGAACGGGUGAGUAAUACAUCGGAACGUGCCCGAUCGUGGGGGAUAACGAGGCGAAAGCUUUGCUAAUACCGCAUACGAUCUACGGAUGAAAGCAGGGGACCGCAAGGCCUUGCGCGGACGGAGCGGCCGAUGGCAGAUUAGGUAGUUGGUGGGAUAAAAGCUUACCAAGCCGACGAUCUGUAGCUGGUCUGAGAGGAUGAUCAGCCACGCUGGGACUGAGACACGGCCCAGACUCCUACGGGAGGCAGCAGUGGGGAAUUUUGGACAAAGGGCGCAAGCCUGAUCCAGCCAUGCCGCGUGCAGGAUGAAGGCCUUCGGGUUGUAAACUGCUUUUGUACGGAACGAAAAGCCUUCUUUUAAUACAGGAGGGUCAUGACGGUACCGUAAGAAUAAGCACCGGCUAACUACGUG